CUCCUCCUCCUCCAGGAAGCGCGCCCCGACUGACUAGACGGACCUCCGUGCAUUCCCCGGGCUACGCCCUCGCCCGCUGAGACGGCGCUCUCCGAGCUCGGCUGCUUUGGGUUUUCGCUGCGAGCCUCGCCAACUUAUCUGCCAGCCUCUUCACGUCCUCGGCCUUCUAUGAGGUCAAGGUCAUGGUUCGCCCCCUUUUUCCUUCCCCAAAUAGUAUUUUAGCAGGGGUGACUCUGGAGAGACACCAGGUCAUCCUGCGCACCCCUUGGGACCUUUCCUAGACGCCCUCCAGCUAGAGCUCCAGUCCAGGCACUGACUCCCGGGUGGCGGGUGGAGGCUGAGGAAGAGCUGAAGGACACAGGCGGAUGUCGCCCCCGGAGCAUGGCUGCAUAGGUGGCAUGCAGGCUGGAUCCCUGAAAAGCCACCUUGCCACCCCCAGUCUCCCCCAUCUGGGAAUGCCUUGGCUUCUGCACCUGCUCCCAGCAGCUCCCAAACACCUGGUCCUUCCAACCCACUUGUUCCAGGAAAGCCUCUGGGAUGGAGGGCGCUUCCCCUUACCACAGUCUCCUCAGCGCUCCUCAAAGGACCUAACCCCUCAGCCCACUGAGGAAAGAGGAGCCCAUGACCAAGCCGCCCCUAGUCGGCUAUGGGCCCCCUCUGUCCGCUCCCUGACCGUCUCUCAAAGGAACUGGCACUGAGCCCUUCUCUGCUACACCUGUGCUCUGCCCCUGCGGUUCUGUUCCCUCGGCCUUCCUGGAGGGAACCCCUGAGGCCCACACGCCUGCUGCCUCCAGACUGACCGUUUCAGAGGCUGUUUCCUUCAGUCCUCCCACCUGCCUCCUGUCCUGUGUAGAUCGUCUGACGCUGAAGGCAAAUACUGGUGCCCCAGAUCUCCUGUCCUGUGCCCCACUGGGUCCUUACAUAGGCAGGCAGGUUGAGGGACCCAGACGCAGGCACCCACUUUCCCUCUCAUUCCCUCCCUUGGGGUCUCAGACUUUACUGGGCUGUGGACUUGAAACUGUAACCGCUGGGUUCCACAAGGCGCACUUAAC
rnacentral:lncRNA from 1 species